GUUCGAGCGUCAUUACACCCCUCAAGCCUAGCUUGGUAUUGGGCUCCGCUACUCACGUAGCGGGCCUUAAAAUUAGUGGCGGUGCGUCGGGGCCCUGAGCGCAGUAAAUAUCCUCGCUAUAGGGACCCGGUGGACGCUAGCCAUCAACCUCACUUUUCAAGUUUGACCUCGGAUCAGGUAGGGAUACCCGCUGAACUUAA
rnacentral:misc_RNA from 1 species